rnacentral:tmRNA from 1 species
GGGGAUGAUUUGAUUCGACAGGGGCAUAGAUAGCGACAUGUGCGCCACGGGAGCGAGCGUCUCCCAUAUCAACACUCAAAUUCUAAGUGCGAACAAAGUAGCACGGGCAAUCUUGUCACCUAUACAGGUGGCAGACUUGCAGCCCGCUUACGCUCUCGUAGCCUAAGCGCCGUCCACGAAGCCGAUGCUUGAUUAAGCUUCGCUGGGCGUAAGAAAAUUCAAGUACUGAUGCGCAGGGCCCUCUGCGUAUCUAAGACUUCGGGCUCGGCAAUGCAUUAUUCUGUUUAUCUUACAGAUGCAAAGCUUAAAUCCGCUUCGGCGGGCCAAGAUAUCCAACGCGGCGUAGUAUCAUCCGAAAUCUAUCUCUUGGACGGGAGCUCACUACUCCCCAUCUCCACAC